GUGAGGAAUAUUGGGCAAUGGGUGCAAGCCUGACCCAGCCAUCCCGCGUGCCGGAUGAAGGCCCUCUGGGUCGUAAACGGCUUUUGACGGUGAAGAACCGAAAGGGUGCGCCCUUUUUUGACGGUAGCCGUUGAAUAAGCACCGGCUAACUCCGUGCCAGCAGCCGCGGUAAUACGGAGGGUGCGAGCGUUGUCCGGAUUUAUUGGGUUUAAAGGGUGCGUAGGCUGGAGGGACAGUCAGCGGUGAAAAGCAGUUGCUCAACAAUUGUCUUGCCGCAGAUACUACCUUUCUUGGAUUGGGAGGAGGUUACCGGAACGGAUGGUGUAGCGGUGAAAUGCAUAGAUAUCAUCCAGAACGCCAAUUGCGAAGGCAGGUAACUGUACCUAUAUCGACGCUGAUGCACGAAAGCAUGGGUAGCGAACAGGAUUAGAAACCCCAGUAGUCC
rnacentral:rRNA from 1 species